rnacentral:rRNA from 1 species
GGGGUAAAUUAAUAAAAUAAGGUUAAUAAAAAAAAUUUUAGUAUUAAAAAGAAAUUGGGGGUUAAAGUAUUUUUAAUAGAAAAAAUUAUUAAUUUUAUAGUGAAUUAAUACUGUAAAGGAAUUUAAAAAUAAGUGAGAUUUAAUUAAGGGUAAAGUAAAUUUUAUUUGUUGUAUCUUGUGUAUCAGAGUUUAUUAAAUAAUAAUAAUUUAUUUAAAUAAAUCUCGAAUUUAAAAGAGUUAAUUAAUUAAAAAAGUUAAUGUUGAAUAAUUAUUUUAAAUAAUUAAUUGGAAAUGAAAUGUUAAUCGUUUUUAAAUAUAUCUAGUUUUUUUAGAAAAAAAUUUAAUUUUAAAUUUAAAUAAUUUUAUAAUUUUUUAUUUAAUUAUAAAAAAUUAAAAUUUAAUAUUUUAUGGGAUAAGCUUUAAAUUAAAAUUUUAUAAUAGGAAAAAAAAAAUAAAAUUAAAAUUUUUAGAAUUUAUAUUGUUAAUAAAUUAUAGUUUAUUAUAAAAAAUUUUAAUUAAAAUAAAAUUUAAUAAAAGUAUUUAAUUUUUUAUAAAAAUAUAAUUUAUAAUAAAAAUAAAUUAGAAAUAAUGAUAAAAUUAGUAUAAUAAGUAAAAAUAUAAUUAAUAAUUAAUUAAAAUUAAUUUAAAGGAAUUCGGCAAAAUUUUAUAUUCACUUGUUUAUCAAAAACAUGUCUUUUUGUUUAUAAUUUAAAGUCUAAUCUGCCCACUGAUAAUAUAUUAAAGGGCUGCAGUAUAUUGACUGUACAAAGGUAGCAUAAUCAUUAGUCUUUUAAUUGGAGACUUGUAUGAAAGAUUUGAUGAAAUAUAAACUGUCUCUAUUUUAUAAUUAAAAUUUAAUUUUUUAGUCAAAAAGCUAAAAUUUAAUUAAAAGACGAGAAGACCCUAUAGAGUUUUAUAAUUAGGUUAAUUUGUAUUAUUUAUAAAAUUAAAAAUAUAAAUUAAUUUAAUUAUUGUAUUGGGGUGAUAAAAAAAUUAAAUAAACUUUUUUUAAAAAUUUAACAUAGAUAAAUGAUUAAUUGAUCCAUUAAUAAUGAUUAAAAGAAAAAAUUACCUUAGGGAUAACAGCGUAAUAUUUUUUUUUAGUACAAAUAAAAAAAAAAGUUUGCGACCUCGAUGUUGGAUUAAGAUAAAAUUUAAAUGCAAAAGUUUAAAGUUUUGAUCUGUUCGAUCAUUAAAAUCUUACAUGAUCUGAGUUCAAACCGGUGUAAGCCAGGUUGGUUUCUAUCUUUAAUAAAAAUAAAUAUUUUAGUACGAAAGGAUCAAAUAUUUGAAAUAAUUUUAUUUUAUGAAUAUUAAUAAUAGUUUUU